CUCCGCUAGUGACAAGAAUGGAUGGAAUUCGAAGGAUAUAUUCGAUGUGAAUGGAUCACUUUCUACAACAAUGGCUUCGCCCAUGAGAGACUUGAUAACACUCGUGUCAAAACUUUCUUACAGCUUAAAGGGAUCUUUUCACGCUUUGAUAUAUACAAACCACCGAAACAUGUUAUUGAUGAGGCUCUAAAACGCGAGAUGAUGGCUGGAUACAACAGAAAUACGUCUAGCAGUGAGGAAGAGGAGGAAACAAAACCCAACUUACGAGAUAUAUUCCGUAAACCAGCUGCUUCGAGCAAUCAAGCACAAGUUCGUAAAGAAACGGCACAAAUUAAGGAUAACCCUUCUACUAAAAAGUCCUCCAAAAACAGGGAACACUCCGAAGGCGAAAGGCUUGAUGACGAAUACGGGACAAGAAAGAAGACGUCAAGCACUACACGUGUGACUGGUAAAAUAAGAAAUAAAGGUGAACCCGAGAAAAAAUCAGCCGAUGAUUUCAUGGCCAUAUUCCAGCAAACAACCUUGGGAGAACGCCCAGAAAAAGAUGGACUAAAGAACAAUCUCUCGUCUCAAAGAUCUUCAUCAGAUGAUUCUGAAGAAGAUGAAGAAAAUCAAACACCAAAAUCAAGCGUUUCUUCGGGAUCGCGUUCAUAUCCGUCAAAGGACAAAACUGAACCAUCCCCCGACGAUCCUUUCAAGAGGCUGCAAGCUGGAAUGAAAGAUAACUCUGAAGAAGAUGACAAAAAGCAAACCGUUACUAGGCAUACAUCAAAAUCAAGCGUUUCUUCAGGAUCGCGUUCAAAUCUGUCGAAGGACAAAACUGUACCAUCCCCCGACGAUCCGUUCACGACGCUGCAAGCUGAAAUAAAAGCAGAUGAUUCUGAAGAAGAUGACGAAAAUCAAACCGUUUCUAGGCAUACACCGAAAUCACGCGUGUCUUCGGGAUCGCGUAAAUAUCAAUCAAAGAAAAAAACUGUACCAUCCCCCGACGAUCCGUUCACGAGGCUGCAAGCUGGAAUGAAAGCAGAUGAUUCUGAAAAAGAUGACGAAAAUCAAACCGUAACAAGGAAUACACCAACAUCAAGCGUGUCAUCGGGAUCGCGUAAAUAUCAAUCAAAGGACAACACUGUACCAUCCCCCGACGAUCCGUUCACGAGGCUGCAAGCUGGAAUGAAAGCAGAUGAUUCUGAAGAAGAUGACAAAAAGCAAACCUUUAAUAGGCAUACACCAAAAUCAAGCGUGUCUUCGGGAUCGCUUAAAUAUCAAUCAAAUGACAAAACUGUACCAUCCCCCGACGAUCCGUUUACGAGGCUGCAAGCUGGAAUGAAAAGAAAUGCCCAAGAUAAGGGAAGCGAUGAGCAUGGGCAAACACAAUCUGUUUAUGAGAAUGAAGAAUCAUUUUCCGACGACUCCUCACAGGGUAGUUUAAGUGAUAAUGCUGAUGCCAGCACUCAAGAUGAUCAUUUCAAAAGGUUGGUAGAGUCAACUAAAGAUACAAAUGCUAAAGAGACGCGAUCGGCGAAGUACAAAAAGGACGAAACAGAGAGCUCUUCUUCAGAUGAUUCUGAUGAUAAUGUCCAACCUGGCGAGGAAUAUAAUCCUUUUAGGAAAAUGGUAGCUGAUGUGAAUAGGCCUAAAAGUAAACCUGGUCAUUCCAAACACCCGUCAAGAAAACCGUCAGACGAUUCCACAUCAAAUGGCGCAGACCGGACACCAGAUAUCAUGAGUAAAAGAAAGUUAGACGAUCUUCCUCCGAGUACUUCACAGAGUUCCCAAGGUAACUUUUCGACAUCUAACCCAGCUUUCAAGACCUAUAGAAUGUUCGAGGACUUUGCUGGUAUGGCAAACGGGGCAGAAGAGGAGGAAAAGAAGCCCAUCACUAUUGGAUCGUCGAUGGCGAAACCGAGAGGAGGACUGGGAGGAGCGCACAAUGACCAGUUGCGUCCGUCGCUUGGAGCCCAAAGUCAGGCUUCGGCAGCGACAGGAGGCGCACCUUUAAACCAAAGUGUUUCUUCAUUGGGUGCACACAAUCCUGGUGGUGCAGCAGUAAUCGCUACAUCAAACUCAAUGUCGUCAUUAUUUGGCGGACACAACCUAGGCAGUGCAGGGAGAGGCAGUGUUCCUUCUAACCAAAUGGCCCCGUUCCUUGGCGAACAGAACCUUGGUAGUGCAGGUAGAGGAAGCUCUCCAGCAAACCAGGUAUCACCAUUGUUAGGGGCACAGAACCGGGGUGGAGCAGGUGCCCAGAAUCCCAUGGCACAGAUGCAAAGGCUUCAGCAGAUGCUUGGAGGCAAAGGUGGACAGAAUCCCAUGGCGCAAUUUCAGAUGCUUAAAGAAAUCCUGGGAGGGCAAGCUGGAAAAGACCCGAUGGCGCAAUUGAACAUGCUUCAGCAAAUGAUGGGAGGGCAAGCAAUUAACAUUGAGAACCGGUCUGACGACGACAUCAUUCGCCGAAUUUUGCAGUGGGAAACCAUUCGCGCCCAAUCCAAUCCACUGAAAAAGGACCCUAACGGGACGACCACGUUGCUUAUCGUCGACACUUCCGGUAAAAUGGCUGGAGACGCAAUGAUUCAGACAGAGCAAUUCCUCGACACUUUUAUGGCUGGUCUUGAACAUCAGCAGAAAAACCUGAACAUGCAGGAAAAUGUUGCCGUUAUCACCGUGGGGACAUUUGUUGAGGUUAAACAACAUCUGACGAACAACUAUCCUAAAAUACGAGAGGCACUACAUUGCCUGUGUGCGGAAGGUCCAAGCAAACUCCAUUUCGGUCUUAGGUUGUCGCAGAGCAUAGUCCAAGCAGAAAAUGGAGGUAUAAAGGAUUUCGGUGGUCAUGCAGCCGCACCUCGAGUGAUUCUGAUUUCAGACGGUCGAAUAACCGGACACACAGACGGCCUUUGUUUUCCAGAUGAACGGGAGCAUCUUCAAAACGUCACCUUAGAGUCGUUGAAUAUGAUGAUCCAGAUGACACUGACCCAGGUAUUCUGUAUUCCAGUGGGACAGAGUGACAACGGAUUCCUGGAACUCAUUUCUAGCAUUACUGGUGGAAAAACGAUGGACAGAAAGUGUGCCCGAGUCCUCAGCCGAUACCAUAUCUACCAUACGGUGGUGGCCUCUCUUAAACAGCACCAGACGGAACCGACGACAGAUUCUAUCCGGCAUCAACUGGUCACCGUGGCCCAGACCUACGACGACGACGACAUGGCUGAAGUAUUAUAUCUGUGGCGCCAACCGGAACCGGAUAUUCAAGGUCGCAAUCAGCGACCCGCGCAACAAGAAGAGGAAUUGAGUCGUCGAAGACAGGCUGAGAAAGACGUCACCGAGGGCGAAGAGAAGUGGAGGCUGCUUAACCGUAGCUUAAAGCUAGGCAUUGGAAUUGAAGAAAUUGCUCCAUACUUCGAUAAAUCAAAACAAAUGCGUUUAAAUGUUCUGGUAAUAAUGAAAGGCACAGCUACGGACUCGAACUGGAAAUUAUUCAGGCAUGAAUGGAAUUCUUUGUCAGAGGAUGAUCGGUAUAUGCAAAGCAACACAGACGUAUCCGAAACGAUUCCAGAUUGCUUUGAUGCCUACCUACCAGACAAGACAUUUGAUGAUUAAGAAGAUGCCAGUGCCUCAAACAUUUUGAAGUAUUAGAACGGUUCAAUCAGUGCCCCUGAAGCCUACGCCGUUUCAAAUGUUGCUGUCACAAAGCUAGGCGAUAUUAAUGACUUCCAAUCACACAUACAUACCGGAUUGCAGACUGCGUUAAGUAAAAACUACAUUCUCACAUAAGGACGAAUGGAUACGGCAAUCCCGGAUCCACCGAAUAAAGAUUCGGAAGAAUCCCUGGACGUGUAGGAUUCUUUGACGGUCUUCAAAAGACAAUCAACCCACGAUAACAUCAUGGCUCAAACUCUUACAAACCGAACUUACACUGACAAAUGCGGCAAUGACACGCAAUCAACACGGCGCUCACACUGACUGUCCCGGCAGAGCUAUAAACUAUUACGGACCAUCACGACAGGGACACGGAUAGCCCCGGAUACACAUGAACAAAGACGACAUCUACACAGAUCAUACCGGACCUGCAUGUCAAGGGCACGGACACAGACGAUCUUCCAAGGUCCGAAAAUAUAUUCUAAAGAAGAAGGUUGAUUAUUGGUCAUUACAUUAUUCUGCAAAUAGAUGUUACCUUGUAAUUUGAGUACAUGAUUGAAACUUCAAAACUUAA